rfam:Gloeophyllum trabeum ATCC 11539 unplaced genomic scaffold GLOTRscaffold_00003, whole genome shotgun sequence.
GUCACUUUGCCGGAGUGGUUAACGGGAUCGCCUGCUAUUCAGCAUUUCAGCGGUUGGGCUUUGCCCGCGUGUGUUCGAAUCGCACAGGUGACG